rnacentral:rRNA from 1 species
GACGAACGCUGGCGCGCGCGCUAACACAUGCAAGUCGAACGAGCGAGAGAGAGUUUACUUUUUCGAGCGAGUGGCGAACGGGUGAGUAACGCGUGAGGAACCUGCCUCAAAGAGGGGGACAACAGUUGGAAACGACUGCUAAUACCGCAUAAGCCCACGGCUCGGCAUCGAGCAGAGGGAAAAGGAGCAAUCCGCUUUGAGAUGGCCUCGCGUCCGAUUAGCUAGUUGGUGAGGUAACGGCCCACCAAGGCGACGAUCGGUAGCCGGACUGAGAGGUUGAACGGCCACAUUGGGACUGAGACACGGCCCAGACUCCUACGGGAGGCAGCAGUGGGGAAUAUUGCACAAUGGGGGAAACCCUGAUGCAGCGACGCCGCGUGGAGGAAGAAGGUCUUCGGAUUGUAAACUCCUGUUGUUGAGGAAGAUAAUGACGGUACUCAACAAGGAAGUGACGGCUAACUACGUGCCAGCAGCCGCGGUAAAACGUAGGUCACAAGCGUUGUCCGGAAUUACUGGGUGUAAAGGGAGCGCAGGCGGGAAGACAAGUUGGAAGUGAAAUCCAUGGGCUCAACCCAUGAACUGCUUUCAAAACUGUUUUUCUUGAGUAGUGCAGAGGUAGGCGGAAUUCCCGGUGUAGCGGUGGAAUGCGUAGAUAUCGGGAGGAACACCAGUGGCGAAGGCGGCCUACUGGGCACCAACUGACGCUGAGGCUGAAAGUGUGGGU